rnacentral:rRNA from 1 species
GGUUAUUUUCUUGUUGUUUAUUUUUGUGGUGAUUGGUUAUUUUAUUGAAGAAUCAUUUUGGUUGUUGUAUAUUUGUGAUUUAAUUUUUUUACGAUAGUUGAUUUGUGCCGUGAGGGGUUGUUGUAUUGUAAGGUUUCUUUUAAAAGUUGAUUUUGUUUGUCGUACCUUGUGUAUCAGGGUUCAUUGAAUUUUAUUAUUUAUUUUUAUUUCCCGAUUUUAAAGGAGUUAAUAAUUUAUGUUAGUUACUGUUUCAUUAGUAUUAAUAAUGGGUUAUUGGUAGUGAAAUGUUAUUCGUCUUUAGUGGUCUCUGGUUUUUCAAGAAAUGAAUUUAAUUCAUACAUCUUAUUUAAUUUAUGUUGUUUUUCUAUUUAUUUUUAUUUGAUGUUAAGAUUAAGGGGGAUUAGCUCCUUGUUUUAGUUUCUAUAAUUAUUGAUGUUUACUUAGUCUUGUGGGUUUUAUAUUGAUUUUCAAUAUGAUUAUGUUAAAAUUUUAUUUAUUCUUUUUUUUAUUUGUUUAUAAUUUGGUUGAUUUAUUGAAAUGUUUUCUUUAUCUUUGUUUUGGUUUGUAAUUAUUGUGUAAUUAGUAAAUUUUAUUUGUUGUGUUGUAUUUUUAAUGUUAAUUUCUUUUUAGGAAUUCGGCAAAUUUUUUAUGUCCGCCUGUUUAACAAAAACAUCUUUUCUUGUUAGUUUUUGAAGUAUGGCCUGCCCACUGACUUUGAGUUGAAGGGCCGCGGUAUUUUGACCGUGCAAAGGUAGCAUAAUCAUUAGUUCUUUAAUUGUGAUCUGGUAUGAAUGGCUUGACGAGACAUAAUCUGUCUUAGAGGUAUUGUUUAUUGAAUUUGAUUUUUGAGUUAAAAUUCUUAAAUGUUUUUGUGGGACGAGAAGACCCUAUAGAGUUUGAUAUUUUUCUUGUUUUUGUAAUUAGUUUGGUUUUUAAUUUGUUUUAAAUAGGUUGAAUGUUUUGUUGGGGUGAUGGGAGGAAUUUAUUUAACUCCUCUUUGCUUUUGUAUAUUUAUGUAUAUAUGUGUUGAUCCAUUUAUUUUGAUUAAAAGAUUAAAUUACCUUAGGGAUAACAGCGUUAUCUCCCUUGAGAGUUCUUAUUGGCAGGGGGGUUUGCGACCUCGAUGUUGGAUUAAGGUGAAUUUUCGGUGCAGGAGCUGAAAGUGAUUGGGUCUGUUCGACCUUUAAAAUCUUACAUGAUCUGAGUUCAGACCGGCGUGAGCCAGGUUGGUUUCUAUCUAUAAUAAUGUUUUAUAUCUUAGUACGAGAGGACCGGAUAUUUGAAAUAAUUUUUCUUACACUGAUUUCCAUUAAGUUGAUACUAUUUUGGCAGAUAAGUGCAUUGGAUUUAGAAUCUAUUAA